AGAUACAAAGAUGACAAAGAUAUUGUCCCUGACUCCCCAGUCUAGUAGGAGAAGACAAACAUAUAAACAGGUGCAGACUUCCUAGAGAAGCUGGCCCAGAGCAGGGUUGAGAGUGGUGGCAGGAUGGCACAGGGAACUAGGCAGCCCCCAGGUGCUGAAGGGAGGGACGGAGACUGCCAGGCCCUCGUCUCAGGUGAAGGAGUGGGUCUGGUUUCUCACUUCCCUUCCAAGGCAGUGUCACGGUGUUUGAGAGCACGUGGGCACUGAAGCCAGACUGUUUGGGCUCAGGUCCCACCCCAGCUGUGUGACCCUGGGCAAAGUCUUAAUCUCUGUGCCUCAGCUUUCUGUCUGUAAAAUAGGGAUAGCUAUGUUACCUACCUCACCUUACAGCUUUGUGGAGAAUAAAUGACCUAUCAUGUGUGAGACUCUCUGAAUAGUACCUGGGACCGAGAUAGGUGUUUGCUGUAUAAACUUUACUACUUAUUGUUAAGCGUUUUUAUCUCAUGUGAUAAUGUAAAAAGAAAAAAGAAA